UUCCACAAUUGCGCCACUCCAUAUGAUCAGAACACCGCACAGCAUCAGCAGCGCGCAGACAGGCGGGUGGGUACACCACCGGCAGGCAGGCAUUUAUAGGAGAGUCACACUUUUCUGAUCGCCGAGCGGUACUGCCGCUUUAGCCUAGAAAUUUGGUUUUCCUCAUAGUUUGCAGGUUACGCUCGCUCUGGCGAAGCAUCGAUGUUUUUAUACGACUGAAACAGUUAUUAUGUAAGCGUGAGCCGUUCCGACUAACGUUAAUUCAUCGUACCACUUAGUCUGGCACGAUGCAACAGCCAACGGUCUUCUGUUCCCGGUUGGCGGUGAUCACGAGAAGCAGAAAAAAAAAUCUCGGCUCAGCUUGCAUAGAAUGUGAGCACUGAACAUCCCGGGUCCGAGGAAAACAACCAACGCCUAUUAGGGAAGUGUUGUCGCGCCUUGAUCUCGAGUACAUGUCCCUGGUUCACCAAUUUUUGAAAGUUGCUGAUCUAAGACUGUACAUUUCAACGUAUGUCGUUAAUCCCUUCCGUAUAUCUUCCUCUUAUUGUUGUCUCCCAAGAAUUUUUUUUGUCACUUUACAGAGGUGAAACAUCGCCAAGAAUAUCAACUAUGUGAACAUCAGCAUCAUAAUUACUUAAGCACCCUAAAUUCCCUUCCUUUCCUACUGUAUUAUUGUAUUCCCUAACCUCGACCAAUAUUAAGUAGAGAACACGGAAGAGGCCGCAGGCUUCGUGGAAGGCAGCGUACAAGAUGGCUUUUUGCAGUUGAAGAGGACCUGAGGGCGCUCAAUGUUCAGGGCGACUGGAAGCGAUAGGCCCAAGGUCGAGUCCAGUGGAGAAGGAUACUCCAUUCGGCGUAGGUUCAUCGAAAAGCUGUAGCCUAUCAAGUAUCAAGCGACACUCCACAUAUCAGGGUCCAUCGAGGAAAGAAAAGAUCAAAAAGAAGAAGUAAAUAUUCAAUUGGGUAGGUACUAGAUCGAAAAAAAACUCGUUGCUAUGAAAAACGACAGCAAAACAAAUGUCAUAUCUUGUUUUUGAUGUAAUUGUAAUUGUACUAAAAUGGUUCGGUAGCCUAAAAUUUGACUGUCUAAGACGAGUUUAGUACUUUUCAUUGAAUUCCACUUGUUCGGAAUAAUUUUAGGAAAUUGUCUUCGGAAUCACCGUCUACGUUUACAGCUGAUCAAAGCUAAAAUGAGUAUUUAUUAUCAAUAGUUCAAAUGUCAAUUGAAGGUUUGCUACUCACAAUUUAGUUUCCUAUCCGUUAUCCUCUUGCGGACGGGUCUCGCUAGGUCGAUACUGGCAAUAUGCAAAUACCUAUUUUACAUAAUUCGAAAUUAAUUGUUCAUAGGUAAUAAGUUAUUGAAAUUAUAAAUAGUUUCCACUUAUUGUAUAUAGGCGUAGGAAUAAGGAUAUUUUGAGAGUAACUUACUAUGAAUUCACUAUAGCAAUCCUCAGACCAAUGCUGUGUACUUUGCAUAUAGCCUAACCUGAAUUUCGAGUCGUACCUAUUUUUCACAAUUUAGUUAGUUUUAAGUAGAAAUCUUUAUCAAAUUCAAUGCAACUUACUUGUAUAGUAACGAAUAUAAUAAAUUCUUA